AAAAAGGAAAUUUUUAAGCGAAAAAACCCAGCAACGGGGGGAGGACCAUCUUCUAAACUGAAAAGGACAACGGAAAUGAUCAUCGAAAUAUACGGAGACGAAUCUCCGAUGUUUUUGGGAGGGAGAGCGGAGUAUCCGGGCGGACGUUACCCACAGCGGUGAAAGAUACACAUUCUCAUACCGCUGUCACAUCAACCCCGUUUGGACAGUCUCUUGACUGCGAGGUGACACUGACAUUGGUCUCUCAAAAUGACGAAGCUCCUGUUACAAGCCAGGAUGACCAAACAACACAAAGUGAAGAUGACGAUUUGGACAGCACCCAAAUGGCACCUGUGGGAAGUGGCUCAGACACCGAGAGACAGAAAGAUGCUCCAAGCAAGAUAAC